GACGAACGCUGGCGGCGUGCCUAAUACAUGCAAGUAGAACGCUGAAGGCGGAGCUUGCUUCUCUGGAUGAGUUGCGAACGGGUGAGUAACGCGUAGGUAACCUGCCUGGUAGCGGGGGAUAACUAUUGGAAACGAUAGCUAAUACCGCAUAACAGUAGAUAUCGCAUGAUAUCUACUUGAAAGGUGCAAUUGCAUCACUACCAGAUGGACCUGCGUUGUAUUAGCUAGUUGGUGAGGUAACGGCUCACCAAGGCGACGAUACAUAGCCGACCUGAGAGGGUGAGCGGCCACACUGGGACUGAGACACGGCCCAGACUCCUACGGGAGGCAGCAGGAGGGAAGCUUCGGCAAUGGACGGAAGGCUGACCGAGCAACGCCGCGUGAGUGAAGAAGGUUGUCGGAUCGUAAAGCUCUGUUGUAAGAGAAGAACGAGUGUGAGAGUGGAAAGUUCACACUGUGACGGUAUCUUAACAGAAAGGGACGGCUAACUACGUG
rnacentral:rRNA from 1 species